rnacentral:rRNA from 1 species
GACGAACGCUGGCGGCGUGCUUAACACAUGCAAGUCGAACGGUGAAGGGGUCUGCUUUUGUGGGCCCUGGCUGAGUGGCGAACGGGUGAGUAACACGUGAGUAACCUGCCCCCUUCUUCUGGAUAACCGCAUGAAAGUGUGGCUAAUACGGGAUAUUCUGGGUCUGUCGCAUGAUGGGUCUGGGAAAGAUUGCGCCUUUGGGUGUUUUUGGUGGGGGAUGGGCUCGCGGCCUAUCAGCUUGUUGGUGGGGUGAUGGCCUACCAAGGCGGUGACGGGUAGCCGGCCUGAGAGGGUGGACGGUCACACUGGGACUGAGACACGGCCCAGACUCCUACGGGAGGCAGCAGUGGGGAAUAUUGCACAAUGGGCGCAAGCCUGAUGCAGCGACGCCGCGUGAGGGAUGGAGGCCUUCGGGUUGUAAACCUCUUUCGCCAGUGAAGCAGGCCUGCUCCUUGUGGGUGGGUUGACGGUAGCUGGAGAAGAAGCGCCGGCUAACUACGUG